GUCGGACAAAAAGACAGGAACCGUUAAAUGGUGUGAUAUUGUACAACACAAGCGAUGGUAGUUCACAGCUGCCAUAUUGGGAGAAAGAUGUCUUGGGGGAGUUCACCGUCUUGACUGGGGAUGUUGUUGGUUUUAAAAUUGCUACAGCCACUCAGUCAAGCGAUACAUUUCUCUUCUUUUCGUGCAUAUCGGCGUGAUUCUUUAAGAAGAGCAACGGAAAUUAAUCUCAUCAAGGAAGUGGUAAGCAGCAAUGGAUGCAAUGUCAGAGAAAGAGGUUUGUUUCGUCUUUGAAAGACAGCUAUGGCCUCAUUCAGUGUUGUGAUAGGGAUACAAGAUUAUUCUUUCAUUUCA